UAGGGUGACUGAACAUGGGACACCAAAGCCCUUUCGAAAGUAAGUAAAUCUUAAGCAGCUUUCAAUAAAGGCGCAUUUUAAGAAACGUAACCUUUUUUCCUCUAAAGUUUCAUUUUAAAGGAAAAGAAACCCUGUAUACCAAUCUGUUAUGUAGUAUAAAAGAAAGCUCUUAAGAAACACGGGUCAUUCAAAAGCUGUAUUUUGAAGUAUGUAUAAAACAGCCAUUUGUAGGAGAGGAUGAAAUUUCAGUCUCUGUGCUAAGUCAGAUUCAGGAAUCUGAUUAGAAUUUAUUGUAAUAUAAAGAUUUGUGCUGUUUCUCGUUGUCCACCUGAAGUCUUCAAAUUGAAUUCACUCUUUUUUCUUCAUAGGUUUGACAGUGUAGCUUUUGGAGAAAGUCAAAGUGAGGAUGAACAAUUUGAAAAUGACUUAGAGACAGAUCCACCCAACUGGCAGCAGCUUGUUAGUCGAGAAGUGUUACUGGGACUAAAACCUUGUGAGAUCAAAAGACAGGAAGUGAUUAAUGGUGAGUGUAAUCAAUUUGUUGUUGUUGUUUACAAAUACUGAGUUUUGUCAGAGUAAAUUAAGUCUCUCAGCCUUGGAGUUUGCUUCAAAGUUUCUCCUAGCCUUUUGUUUUAAACAAAGAGGAAAUUAAACUGGACGGAUAAUCCUUGAACUCAAGAAAAUGCAAAUGCUUCUGUGAUUCUUAUUGAUAAUUUAAAAGGAAAACGUGUUAAGCCUUAAAGAUAUUUAAGAUUCAUAGCAUUAUAGAUCUUAAAGUUGAAAAGUCAUUGCAACAACUAAGUUAUUUUUAUGCAUAGAUUUUAAAUGAGGAACGUAAGGCCCAGGGAGAUUGAAUUCGUUAAGAUCAUACAGCUAAUAACGUGUAAGGAAAAAAAUUUAGUUCCUGGUCUUUCUGUAUCGAAGUGCAGUGUUCUUUAUUUACCCUAGCAUGUAUGUGACAAAUGUGUGGCAUGGAUGCUAUACCCUUUACUAUUCUUAGCAUGUGAUAUGAAUAAAUAUCUUGUCUCUGACAAUACUGAGACAUAAUGAAAUUAUAAGCCUGACCCAAGAAAUGAGUGUUUAUAGGCAAAUUAGAUAACCAAAAGUACUAUUAUUUCUUAAGCGGGCUCAAGUUAAAGGCUAUAUGAUAUUGGGGCUUACAGUUUUCUUAAUGAUGUAGUUGUGAUAGGUGGGUAUUAUUGUAAACGGAUGUGUUUGGGAAUACACUAAAAAAAAUAGUUUUGAAUGAUAUUUUUUAUUUGUCAGUAUUCAACUCUCAGAGCCAGUAUGCAGGAGAAUUUCUUGGAAUCAGAAUGACUUCAGAGAUAUUUCAUCCGUUCUAAAUGAUAAAUAAUUUAUUAUAUAAUGCAUUUGCUACUUCACUCCAGCUAAAGACUAUGAUUGAUCCCAUGGAAUUGUUCUAAGUAAGGCAACAUUUCAUAUGUCUUUCCUGCUCAGAAUUGUUCUACACUGAAAGAGCUCAUGUUCGAACGCUGAAGGUUCUUGAUCAAGUGUUCUAUCAGCGAGUGUCCAGAGAAGGAAUUCUGUCACCCUCAGAGCUACGGAAAAUUUUUUCAAACUUGGAAGAUAUUCUUCAACUUCACAUUGGAUUGAAUGAACAAAUGAAGGCUGUUCGAAAGAGAAAUGAGACCUCUGUUAUCGAUCAGAUUGGGGAAGAUUUGCUGACAUGGUUCAGCGGACCAGGAGAGGAGAAAUUGAAACAUGCUGCUGCUACCUUUUGCAGUAACCAACCUUUCGCCCUGGAAAUGAUCAAGUCUCGUCAGAAAAAGGAUUCUCGAUUUCAGACUUUUGUGCAAGAUGCUGAAAGUAAUCCACUGUGUCGUCGUCUUCAACUGAAGGAUAUUAUUCCCACUCAAAUGCAAAGGCUUACUAAGUACCCACUUCUGUUGGAUAAUAUUGCCAAAUACACAG
rnacentral:sRNA from 1 species